rnacentral:rRNA from 1 species
GGUUAAGCGACUAAGCGUACACGGUGGAUGCCCUGGCAGUCAGAGGCGAUGAAGGACGUGCUAAUCUGCGAUAAGCGUCGGUAAGGUGAUAUGAACCGUUAUAACCGGCGAUUUCCGAAUGGGGAAACCCAGUGUGAUUCGUCACACUAUCAUUAACUGAAUCCAUAGGUUAAUGAGGCGAACCGGGGGAACUGAAACAUCUAAGUACCCCGAGGAAAAGAAAUCAACCGAGAUUCCCCCAGUAGCGGCGAGCGAACGGGGAGGAGCCCAGAGCCUGAAUCAGUAUGUGUGUUAGUGGAAGCGUCUGGAAAGGCGCGCGAUACAGGGUGACAGCCCCGUACACAAAAAUGCACAUGCUGUGAGCUCGAUGAGUAGGGCGGGACACGUGGUAUCCUGUCUGAAUAUGGGGGGACCAUCCUCCAAGGCUAAAUACUCCUGACUGACCGAUAGUGAACCAGUACCGUGAGGGAAAGGCGAAAAGAACCCCGGCGAGGGGAGUGAAAAAGAACCUGAAACCGUGUACGUACAAGCAGUGGGAGCACGCUUAGGCGUGUGACUGCGUACCUUUUGUAUAAUGGGUCAGCGACUUAUAUUCUGUAGCAAGGUUAACCGAAUAGGGGAGCCGAAGGGAAACCGAGUCUUAACUGGGCGUUAAGUUGCAGGGUAUAGACCCGAAACCCGGUGAUCUAGCCAUGGGCAGGUUGAAGGUUGGGUAACACUAACUGGAGGACCGAACCGACUAAUGUUGAAAAAUUAGCGGAUGACUUGUGGCUGGGGGUGAAAGGCCAAUCAAACCGGGAGAUAGCUGGUUCUCCCCGAAAGCUAUUUAGGUAGCGCCUCGUGAAUUCAUCUCCGGGGGUAGAGCACUGUUUCGGCAAGGGGGUCAUCCCGACUUACCAACCCGAUGCAAACUGCGAAUACCGGAGAAUGUUAUCACGGGAGACACACGGCGGGUGCUAACGUCCGUCGUGAAGAGGGAAACAACCCAGACCGCCAGCUAAGGUCCCAAAGUCAUGGUUAAGUGGGAAACGAUGUGGGAAGGCCCAGACAGCCAGGAUGUUGGCUUAGAAGCAGCCAUCAUUUAAAGAAAGCGUAAUAGCUCACUGGUCGAGUCGGCCUGCGCGGAAGAUGUAACGGGGCUAAACCAUGCACCGAAGCUGCGGCAGCGACGC